rnacentral:rRNA from 1 species
GGACUACCCGGGUUUCUAAUCCUGUUUGCUCCCCACGCUUUCGCGCCUCAGCGUCAAUACCAGUCCAGUUGGCCGCCUUCGCCACCGGUGUUCUUCCCAAUCUCUACGAAUUUCACCUCUACACUGGGAAUUCCACCAACCUCUCCUGGAUUCGAGCACGCCAGUAUCAAGUGCAAUUCCCGGGUUGAGCCCAGGGCUUUCACACCUGACUUAGCGCACCGCCUACGCGCCCUUUACGCCCAGUAAUUCCGAACAACGCUUGCCCCCUUCGUAUUACCGCGGCUGCUGGCAC